CUCAGCUGCUUGCCCCAGAGGGGGUGGGGCCGGACAGGAACAAGAUGGCUGCCUGCCUCUGAGCAAGCAACAGGAGCCUUACACCAGAAAAAAAUUUGCUGACUCCUGAUGUAAAUAAUGUUGAUGCAUGUAUUUCUUUAUUGGAAAAUAAACAUGAUGGUUUAACACAAGGAAUUUGAAGCUGGACUGUCUGAGUUUAAAUCCCAGUCAAUUACUGAAUAUUUUUGUCAUCUAAGUUUUAUCUAUAACAGGGCAAAUCUAUUUCAAAGGUACACCACUGUCCAAGGGUCUUUUGAAGCUAUUUC